GAUGAACGCUGGCGGCGUGCCUAAUACAUGCAAGUCGAGCGAACGGACGAGAAGCUUGCUCCUCUGAUGUUAGCGGCGGACGGGUGAGUAACACGUGGAUAACCUACCUAUAAGACUGGGAUAACUUCGGGAAACCGGAGCUAAUACCGGAUAAUAUUUUGAACCGCAUGGUUCAAAAGUGAAAGACGGUAUUGCUGUCACUUAUAGAUGGAUCCGCGCUGCAUUAGCUAGUUGGUAAGGUAACGGCUUACCAAGGCAACGAUGCGUAGCCGACCUGAGAGGGUGAUCGGCCACACUGGAACUGAGACACGGUCCAGACUCCUACGGGAGGCAGCAGUAGGGAAUCUUCCGCAAAGGGCGAAAGCCUGACGGAGCAACGCCGCGUGAGUGAUGAAGGUCUUCGGAUCGUAAAACUCUGUUAUUAGGGAAGAACAUAUGUGUAAGUAACUGUGCACAUCUUGACGGUACCUAAUCAGAAAGCCACGGCUAACUACGUG
rnacentral:rRNA from 1 species